CCAACAUCAACAUCGCCAUCAUCGAGCAGUCCGUGAGCCCCGGCGGCGGCGCGUGGCUGGGCGGGCAGCUGUUCUCCGCCAUGGUGGUCCGCAAGCCGGCCCACAGGUUCCUGGACGAGCUGGAGAUCGAGUACGACGAGCAGGACGACUACGUGGUGAUCAAGCACGCCGCCCUCUUCACCUCCACCAUCAUGAGCAAGCUCCUCGCCCGCCCCAACGUCAAGCUCUUCAACGCCGUGGCCGCCGAGGACCUCAUCGUCAAGGGCGGCAGGGUCGGCGGCGUCGUCACCAACUGGGCCCUCGUCUCCAUGAACCACGACACACAAUCGUGUAUGGACCCCAACGUCAUGGAGGCCAAGGUCGUCGUCAGCUCCUGCGGCCACGACGGCCCCUUCGGCGCCACCGGCGUCAAGCGCUUGAAGAGCAUCGGAAUGAUCGACAGCGUGCCCGGGAUGAAGGCCCUCGACAUGAACACCGCCGAGGACGCCAUUGUUAGGCUCACUAGGGAGGUCGUGCCCGGGAUGAUCAUCACCGGCA
rnacentral:lncRNA from 1 species